CCUGAUAGUUCAGUUGGUAAAGGAUCUGCCUGCAAUGCAGAAGACCCAGGUUUGAUUCCUGGGUCAGGA
rnacentral:tRNA from 1 species